rnacentral:rRNA from 1 species
AGUGAACGCUGGCGGUAGGCCUAACACAUGCAAGUCGAACGGCAGCACAGUAAGAGCUUGCUCUUACGGGUGGCGAGUGGCGGACGGGUGAGGAAUACAUCGGACUCUACUUUUUCGUGGGGGAUAACGUAGGGAAACUUACGCUAAUACCGCAUACGACCUACGGGUGAAAGCAGGGGAUCUUCGGACCUUGCGCGAUUGAAUGAGCCGAUGUCGGAUUAGCUAGUUGGCGGGGUAAAGGCCCACCCAGGCGACGAUCCGUAGCUGGUCUGAGAGGAUGAUCAGCCACACUGGAACUGAGACACGGUCCAGACGCCUACGGGAGGCAGCAGUGGGGAAUAUGGGACAAUGGGCGCAAGCCUGAUCCAGCCAGACCGCGUGGGUGAAGAAGGCCUUCGGGUUGUAAAGCCCUUUUGUUGGGAAAGAAAAGCAGCAGGUUAAGACCCAGCUGUUCUGACGGUACCCAAAGAAUAAGCACCGGCUAACUACGUG